rnacentral:rRNA from 1 species
CUACGUGCCAGCAGCCGCGGUAAUACGUAGGUGGCAAGCGUUGUUCGGAAUAACUGGGCGUAAAGGAUGCGUAGGCGGUUGAGUAAGUUAUGUGUUAAAUAUAUAGGCUUAACCUGUAGAAAGCACAUAAAACUGUUUAACUAGAGUGCAGGAGAGGUAAGUGGAAUUCCUAGCGUAGCGGUGAAAUGCGUAGAGAUUAGGAAGAACACCAGUGGCGAAGGCGACUUACUGGACUGUAACUGACGCUGAGGCAUGAGAGCAUGGGGAGCA